UCCAAGUGGGCUUUGUGACGCAACGCGCUCCGGUCGCCUCCCUCCCGCGCCGGGCCCGCUGCUCCGGGGGACGGCGGAGGACAGCGGGCUACUGGGCGGCCGGGCGGGGCAGGCCGAGUCCUCGCGUGUCGCGCGCGUCCCCGCGGACUCGAGCCGCCAUCCGGCCGCGAGGUCUGGGCGCCUCUGCCCGAGGACGCUGGUUUCGAGCGGGGCCAAAGUAAACAAAGCUCGCCUCCAUUUUUUCUUGUUAUGCAGAAAAUCGAAUGUAGACAAGCGAGGCAUUCUGAGGCCGUCCGGGUCUCGGGGCAUUUAGGAAUGUGCAGGUUGACUUUGCAUAUGAAGAUACGGGGAAUAGACCACGGACCACAAAGUUAAGAAUGAUAGCAUAUAUUCUACUAGGAAAAAAAAAAAAGCCUUCUCACCAUAUGCAGACAGAUUCCCGGACUGGAGGGAGGGAGAAUUCAGAGAGAAAAGGCUGGCCUUUCUGGAAAACGGCUUCCCCAAGGAGCAACCUGAAGGGGGUGGCCCUGCUCCUGAAACGGAUUCUAGAAGCCCCAGAGGAUCAAGGAAACACUUGGGAGGAAGGUCUGCAUGUGGAGUACAGAGGUUUGUGUAGAGCGAAUGCUCUAGUCAAUGUCAUGGCCAAGGUUAUGGCUUGACUUGUGAGCAUUAUAGUGAAGGGAAAAUUUUUACAUAAAGCAAUGAAUGAGGUCACAAAUCAGUCAAAUCACAGUGGUGAUAAGAUGUGUGUCCUGAAAGUCGAAGAUGAGGAUGUUUUAAGAAGGGAAUAGUCCCCUGUGUCAGAAGCUGUUGUGAAAAUUAAUAAAGAAAAACUUCAUUUAAACUGGAGUGGGGAGGCCAGAAGGGAGAGCUCUCAUGCCCUACCACUCAGGGUCAAUGGUAGACCCAACAGGAAGAGAGGUACCUUUGCAUCUCCAACAGGAAGAAGGCCACUACUUUACUACCCAGCAAGAGGAUGAAUUUCUCCUCGCCCAGCAACAGCCUAGCCAAUGAGAGGCUGUCACAGUCAGCCAAUGAAAAACCAGUACACUUCAAACUCCCAGUUUCCUCCAAUGGACUCUUUGUUUAUAAUAGCCCCUCCCAACUGCGUCUCCUCUUCUAUGAAACAGCCCUCUUCUCCUUUAGCCUCUGGACUUGCCUGUUGUUUCCCUGGGUUUGCAUGUUCUGAAUUGCAAUUCUUUGCUGUUCCCGAGUAAACCCAUUUUGCUGGGAAAGUAACUGGCUGUUUUAUUGUUUUAGGUAAAGAGUGUGGAGAGAUCAAGUAAGAGGAAUACUGGUAUUAAUGGAUUUAGAGACUGGAACCAUUGGCUAGCUUAGCAAAAGUAGUUUUGGUGGUGGGAUAGAGGUAGACUCAAAUAGUGGAGUAACUUCAGAAGAUAUUUGGCUGUGAAGGAGAGAAGAGAGGAAGCUGGA